rnacentral:misc_RNA from 1 species
GCAGUGAAUUGCCUAAUAAUGCAUGUAUGUUAUUGUAAAUUAUAACCAAAUAAUGCAGUUAUUUUUUCGGAUUACUGAAUUUGGCAUGUGCACGUGCGUGCUACUGCACCUUCCUAGUAGGCACGUGCCUCACUUGGUUUUCUGCAUUGAAAUGUGAACCACACGUUUGUCACUUAUCUAAAAAUUUUUGAAUAUAAUCAAUUGUACCUAGAAUAAUUUUAGGAAAA